rnacentral:rRNA from 1 species
GACGAACCGUGCGAACGUUGUUCGGAAUCACUGGGCUUAAAGGGCGCGUAGGCGGGCCUUCAAGUCCGGGGUGAAAGCCUCCAGCCUAACUGGAGAAGAGCCUCGGAGACUGAGGGCCUCGAGGAGGGUAGGGGCAAGCGGAACUAUGGGUGGAGCGGUGAAAUGCAUUGAUAUCCAUAGGAACUCCGGUGGCGAAGGCGGCUUGCUGGACCAUUUCUGACGCUGAGGCGCGAAAGCCAGGGGAGCAAACGGG